rnacentral:sRNA from 1 species
GGCAACAGACUCAUCCAUUGAUGGAGUUAGUAUCCUCGUGAUUCAGUUCCUCCUCAGUAAGACCGUCAGACCGGAGCCAAGUUUUCAACACAUCUUUUUAGGAAGGGCACUUCAUAUCCAAACCAUAACUGAAAAAUCUGGAAGGGCUUCUUCCUCAGAAACAGUAAGUUAUCUACUUCCAUAACAACAACCACUUCUCUACUCAAAAUGGAACUGACAAGCAUCACAAAUCAAAACAACAGGGAAGGAAACCCUAUUCUUGUUGAAUGACCGCACAGCUGAUGGGACUAUGAUUAUGGAGUUCUUUGUGGAUGUAACCAUGCAUAAGAAGUACCUUGAGAGUUCUCAUAAAAUAAAUAAAAACUCUUCUAAUCUCUUGUUCAAAGAUCAAUGCCACCUAUAAGUUGCUUCUGAGUCAGGGGUUGGGG